rnacentral:rRNA from 1 species
UACGUAGGGUGCGAGCGUUGUCCGGAAUUACUGGGCGUAAAGAGCUCGUAGGUGGUUUGUCGCGUUGUCCGUGAAAACUCACAGCUCAACUGUGGGCGUGCGGGCGAUACGGGCAGACUGGAGUACUGCAGGGGAGACUGGAAUUCCUGGUGUAGCGGUGAAAUGCGCAGAUAUCAGGAGGAACACCGAUGGCGAAGGCAGGUCUCUGGGCCACUACUGACGCUGAGAAGCGAAAGCAUGGGGAGCGAACAGG